rnacentral:rRNA from 1 species
AACGAACGCUGGCGGCAGGCUUAACACAUGCCAGUCGAGCGAGACCUUCGGGUCUAGCGGCGGACGGGUGAGUAACGCGUGGGAACGUGCCCUUCUCUACGGAAUAGCCCCGGGAAACUGGGAGUAAUACCGUAUACGCCCUUUGGGGGAAAGAUUUAUCGGAGAAGGAUCGGCCCGCGUUGGAUUAGGUAGUUGGUGGGGUAAUGGCCCACCAAGCCGACGAUCCAUAGCUGGUUUGAGAGGAUGAUCAGCCACACUGGGACUGAGACACGGCCCAGACUCCUACGGGAGGCGGCAGUGGGGAAUCUUAGACAAUGGGGGCAACCCUGAUCUAGCCAUGCCGCGUGAGUGAUGAAGGCCUUAGGGUUGUAAAGCUCUUUCAGCUGGGAAGAUAAUGACGGUACCAGCAGAAGAAGCCCCGGCUAACUCCGUG